rnacentral:rRNA from 1 species
UACGAAGGGGGCUAGCGUUGUUCGGAAUUACUGGGCGUAAAGGGCGCGUAGGCGGCCGCUCAAGUCAGAUGUGAAAGUCCUGGGCUUAACCUGGGGACUGCAUUUGAUACUGAAUGGCUUGAAUUCGGGAGAGGAUAGCGGAAUUCCCAGUGUAGAGGUGAAAUUCGUAGAUAUUGGGAAGAACACCGGUGGCGAAGGCGGCUAUCUGGACCGACAUUGACGCUGAGGCGCGAAAGCGUGGGGAGCAAACAGG